rnacentral:rRNA from 1 species
GACGAACGCUGGCGGCGUGCUUAACACAUGCAAGUCGAACGCUGAAGCUUGGUGCUUGCACUGGGUGGGUGAGUGGCGAACGGGUGAGUAAUACGUGAGUAACCUGCCCUUGACUCUGGGAUAAGCCUGGGAAACUGGGUCUAAUACUGGAUACGACAUGUCACCGCAUGGGGGCGUGUGGAAAGGGUUUUACUGGUUUUGGAUGGGCUCACGGCCUAUCAGCUUGUUGGUGGGGUAAUGGCUCACCAAGGCGACGACGGAUAGCCGGCCUGAGAGGGUGACCGGCCACACUGGGACUGAGACACGGCCCAGACUCCUACGGGAGGCAGCAGUGGGGAAUAUUGCACAAUGGGCGAAAGCCUGAUGCAGCGACGCCGCGUGAGGGAUGACGGCCUUCGGGUUGUAAACCUCUUUCAGCACGGAAGAAGCGAAAGUGACGGUACGUGCAGAAGAAGCGCCGGCUAACUACGUG